UACGUAGGCAGCGAGCGUUGUUCGGAAUUACUGGGCGUAAAGAGUGUGUAGGCGGUGCUCCCAGUCUGUUGUGAAAUCUCCCGGCUUAACUGGGAGGGUGCGCCGGAAACUGGAGUGCUCGAACGUGGGAGAGGAAAGCGGAAUUCCUGGUGUAGCGGUGAAAUGCGUAGAUAUCAGGAGGAACACCUGCGGUGUAGACGGCUUUCUGGACCAUUGUUGACGCUGAGACACGAAAGCGUGGGUAGCAAACAGG
rnacentral:rRNA from 1 species